rnacentral:rRNA from 1 species
GACGAACGCUGGCGGCACGCUUAACACAUGCAAGUCGAACGAGAGAGGAGAAGCUUGCUUUUCUGAUCUAGUGGCGGACGGGUGAGUAACACGUGAGCAAUCUGCCUUUCAGAGGGGGAUACCGAUUGGAAACGAUCGUUAAUACCGCAUAACAUAAUUGAACCGCAUGAUUUGAUUAUCAAAGAUUUAUCGCUGAAAGAUGAGCUCGCGUCUGAUUAGCUAGUUGGUAAGGUAACGGCUUACCAAGGCGACGAUCAGUAGCCGGACUGAGAGGUUGAUCGGCCACAUUGGGACUGAGACACGGCCCAGACUCCUACGGGAGGCAGCAGUGGGGAAUAUUGCACAAUGGAGGAAACUCUGAUGCAGCGAUGCCGCGUGAGGGAAGAAGGUUUUAGGAUUGUAAACCUCUGUCUUCAGGGACGAAAAAAGACGGUACCUGAGGAGGAAGCUCCGGCUAACUACGUG